UACGAAGGGGGCUAGCGUUGUUCGGAAUUACUGGGCGUAAAGCGCACGUAGGCGGAUAUUUAAGUCAGGGGUGAAAUCCCAGAGCUCAACUCUGGAACUGCCUUUGAUACUGGGUAUCUCGAGUAUGGAAGAGGUGAGUGGAAUUCCGAGUGUAGAGGUGAAAUUCGUAGAUAUUCGGAGGAACACCAGUGGCGAAGGCGGCAUCCUGGACCGGCAUUGACGCUGAAGCGCGAAAGCUAGGGGAGCAAACGGG
rnacentral:rRNA from 1 species